rnacentral:lncRNA from 7 species
GCCGCCCGGCGCGCUGCAUCUCGGCUUGUGUUUCUUCCUGCUCAAAAAAGUGUGAUUUUGGUAAAAAUUGGUGGUCGCGGCACGCCGUUUCUUAACCCCGGUGCUGGGGACAGAGGGUAGUUUUGUCCUUUUGAGUUUCUUUCCUCUCAGAUGUAAAAUGACGUUUAUACAGGACUGUAAUCUCUGAGUUUGGGGACUGCACGAAGAGCUGGACAGAGAGAUUUUUAUUUUUACUUCUAUAUUGCAAAUAUGUUUCUGACGGCAUCGCCACAGUGGCAGCGGAUUCAUGUUCCUGAGACGGUUUUUUAUCCAUGUAGUGCAAAAUGGAGAAUUCUUUUGAUGAACCAAAGUAGGCAAACACAUUCAUCCCCGGGUUCACAUUUUAAGUAACACAGCACACAAAGCCUUGUGAAGUUAUGGCAGCAGCGAAGACAGUUUAAGGAUUUUGCCAGCAGCACUGAUUUACCAUGACUUGGGGCCAAGGCCGGAUUUUCCAUUCCGUGGAACCAGAGCCCCUGAAUCAUCUUCCAAAGGUCAGUCGGUGUUCAGGGAACCGAAUCUCUGACAAGAUCUGAAGGCACACACAGUUCAGGGUGACGCGGGCUGUGAGGGUGUCUCUGCGCACUGCUCCUGCAGGAAGGCCGUGCUUUGGGAGAACAAAAGGGUGCU